UGAGCAAUCUGCCCUUCUCAUCGGAAUAAGCGUUGGAAACGACGUCUAAUGCCGAAUACGACCUCCUUUCGCAUGAUCGGAGGUGGAAAGCUCCGGCGGAGAAGGAUGAGCUCGCGGCCUAUCAGCUAGUUGGUGUGGGUAAUGGCCCACAAGGCGACGACGGGUAGCCGGCCUGAGAGGGUGACCGGCCACACGUGGGACUGAGACACGGCCCAGACUCCGUACGGGAGC
rnacentral:rRNA from 1 species